GCUGGGCAUGGUGGUGUGCGCCUGUCAUCCCAGCAGCUCGGGAGGCUGAGGCAGGAGGAUCAUGAGUUCCAAGCCAGCCUCAGCAACUUAGUGAGGCCCUAGGCAACUUAGCAAGAUCCUACCUCGA
rnacentral:sRNA from 1 species